CUGGCUCAGAUUGAACGCUGGCGGCAUGCUUUACACAUGCAAGUCGAACGGUAACAGGUCUUCGGAUGCUGACGAGUGGCGAACGGGUGAGUAAUACAUCGGAACGUGCCUAGUAGUGGGGGAUAACUACUCGAAAGAGUAGCUAAUACCGCAUGAGAUCUACGGAUGAAAGCAGGGGACCUUCGGGCCUUGUGCUACUAGAGCGGCUGAUGGCAGAUUAGGUAGUUGGUGGGGUAAAGGCUUACCAAGCCUGCGAUCUGUAGCUGGUCUGAGAGGACGACCAGCCACACUGGGACUGAGACACGGCCCAGACUCCUACGGGAGGCAGCAGUGGGGAAUUUUGGACAAUGGGCGAAAGCCUGAUCCAGC
rnacentral:rRNA from 1 species